rnacentral:tmRNA from 1 species
GGGGAUGCAAUGGUUUCGACGGGAGUAGUUGGUGCAUGGUAAGCGAGCCGGGGGGUCAUCAACCCGUUAGUAAGGUGAAACUUUUAUUUAAAUAUAAAAGCUAACAAAGAAUACGCUUUAGCAGCUUAAUGCUAACCUCUUUUCGUUCUUUUCCCGCGUGAGCGAAAAAGAGGCCAACAGCGGGAUACCUUAUAAUCAAUUCUCGGAGAUUUUAAGGGAAAUUCAUCGAGAUAUAAAAAUUGUAGCCUGUCUAUAGGCGACAGUUUUCGAAUUUAAUAUAUGGACUGCGCUCGGAGAAAGCUGUGUAGCAGUACUUUCGGACAGGAGUUCGAUUCUCCUCAUCUCCACCA